AGAGUUUGAUCCUGGCUCAGGAUGAACGCUGGCGGCGUGCUUAACACAUGCAAGUCGAACGGGGAUUAUUUUGACAGAGACUUCGGUUGAAGUCGUUAUAAUCCUAGUGGCGGACGGGUGAGUAACGCGUGGGUAACCUGCCUCACACUGGGGGAUAACAGUCGGAAAUGACUGCUAAUACCGCAUAAGCGCACGGGAUUGCAUGAUCCAGUGUGAAAAACUCCGGUGGUGUGAGAUGGACCCGCGUUGGAUUAGCCAGUUGGCAGGGUAACGGCCUACCAAAGCGACGAUCCAUAGCCGGCCUGAGAGGGUGGACGGCCACAUUGGGACUGAGACACGGCCCAGACUCCUACGGGAGGCAGCAGUGGGGAAUAUUGCACAAUGGGGGAAACCCUGAUGCAGCGACGCCGCGUGAAGGAAGAAGUAUCUCGGUAUGUAAACUUCUAUCAGCAGGGAAGAAAAUGACGGUACCUGACUAAGAAGCCCCGGCUAACUACGUGCCAGCAGCCGCGGU
rnacentral:rRNA from 1 species